UUGUUACCUGGAGUUUCCUCAACACACUUCACAUCUGCUAGGCCCUAUUACAAUUGCGCAAUGUGGAGUCUGCAAUUGGUAGUGAAGUGUUUGGGGGAACUCUAGGUGGCAC
rnacentral:pre_miRNA from 17 species